rnacentral:rRNA from 1 species
GACGAACGCUGGCGGCGUGCUUAACACAUGCGAGUCGAACGGAAAGGCCCUUCGGGGUACUCGAGUGGCGAACGGGUGAGUAACACGUGGGUGAUCUGCCCUGCACUUUGGGAUAAGCCUGGGAAACUGGGUCUAAUACCGGAUAGGACCACGCGCUUCAUGGUGUGUGGUGGAAAGCUUUUGCGGUGUGGGAUGGGCCCGCGGCCUAUCAGCUUGUUGGUGGGGUAAUGGCCUACCAAGGCGACGACGGGUAGCCGGCCUGAGAGGGUGACCGGCCACACUGGGACUGAGAUACGGCCCAGACUCCUACGGGAGGCAGCAGUGGGGAAUAUUGCACAAUGGGCGCAAGCCUGAUGCAGCGACGCCGCGUGAGGGAUGACGGCCUUCGGGUUGUAAACCUCUUUCGCCAGGGACGAAGCGCAAGUGACGGUACCUGGAGAAGAAGCCCCGGCUAACUUCGUGCCAGCCGCCGCGGUAAGAC